rnacentral:rRNA from 1 species
CUACGGGAGGCUCCAGCAAGGAAUAGCAGGCAAUGGGCGAAAGCCUGACCUCGCGACGCCGCGUGAAGGAUGAAGGCCUUCGGGUCGUAAACUUCUUUUCUCGGGGAUGAAUAAUGACAGUACCCGGGGAAUAAGUCACGGCUAACUACGUGCCAGCAGCCGCGGUAAUACGUAGGUGGCGAGCGUUAUCCGGAUUUACUGGGCGUAAAGAGUGCGCAGGCGGUCUUUCAAGUCAGGUGUAAAAUCUCCCGGCUCAACUGGGAGGGACCACCUGAUACUGUGAGGCUAGAGUACAGCAGAGGAAAGCGGAAUUCCCGGUGUAGUGGUGGAAUGCGUAGAUAUCGGGAGGAACACCAGUGGCGAAAGCGGCUUUCUGGGCUGUUACUGACGCUGUUGCACGAAAGCGUGGGGAGCAAACAGGAUUAGAUACCCGCGUAGUC